rnacentral:rRNA from 1 species
AAUAGAUACCCAGGUAGUCCACGCCGUAAACGUUGGAUACUAGGUGUGGCGGUUAUACCAAUGACUGCCGUGCCGAAGCUAACGCAUUAAGUAUCCCGCCUGGGGAGUACGGCCGCAAGGCUAAAACUCAAAGGAAUUGACGGGUCCCCGCACAAGCGGCGGAGCAUGCGGCUUAAUUCGAUGCAACCCGAAGAACCUUACCUGGGUUUGACAUCACGGGAAAAGCUGUAGAAAUACAGUGUCCAUUAGGGCCCGUGACAGGUGGUGCAUGGCUGUCGUCAGCUCGUGUCGUGAGAUGUUGGGUUAAGUCCCGCAACGAGCGCAACCCUUGUCCUAUGUUGCCAGCGGUUCGGCCGGGGACUCAUAGGAGACUGCCGGGGAUAACUCGGAGGAAGGUGAGGACGACGUCAAGUCAUCAUGCCCCUUAUAUCCAGGGCUGCACGCAUGCUACAAUGGCCGGUACAACAGGCAGCGACCCCGCGAGGGUGAGCGAAUCCUAAAAAGCCGGUCCUAGUUCGGAUUGAAGUCUGCAACUCGA